GAUGAACGCUGGCGGCGUGCCUAAUACAUGCAAGUCGAGCGAACAGACGAGGAGCUUGCUCCUCUGACGUUAGCGGCGGACGGGUGAGUAACACGUGGAUAACCUACCUAUAAGACUGGGAUAACUUCGGGACACCGGAGCUAAUACCGGAUAAUAUAUUGAACCGCAUGGUUCAAUAGUGAAAGACGGUUUUGCUGUCACUUAUAGAUGGAUCCGCGCCGCAUUAGCUAGUUGGUAAGGUAACGGCUUACCAAGGCAACGAUGCGUAGCCGACCUGAGAGGGUGAUCGGCCACACUGGAACUGAGACACGGUCCAGACUCCUACGGGAGGCAGCAGUAGGGAAUCUUCCGCAAUGGGCGAAAGCCUGACGGAGCAACGCCGCGUGAGUGAUGAAGGUCUUCGGAUCGUAAAACUCUGUUAUUAGGGAAGAACAAAUGUGGAAGUAACUAUGCACGUCUUGACGGUACCUAAUCAGAAAGCCACGGCUAACUACGUG
rnacentral:rRNA from 1 species